AGUCCGAUAACUGGGUCAAAUGGUGAUUCCAUUCCAAAAUUUCUAAGGAAUAUCCAUACUGCUUUCCAGAGUGGUUGUACCAAUUUGAAGUCCUACCAGCAAU
rnacentral:pre_miRNA from 1 species